rnacentral:snRNA from 1 species
AUGUGAGGGCGAUCUGGCUGCGACAUCUGUCACCCCAUUGAUCGCCAGGGUUGAUUCAGCUGAUCUGGCUGGCUAGGCGGGUGUCCCCUUCCUCCCUCACUGCUCCAUGUGCGUCCCUCCCGAAGCUGCGCGCUCGGUAGAAGAGGACGACGUCCCAGAUAUAGAAGGAGUGUACCGAGGUCUCCAGUCUUCGGUCCCGGGUAUACGAUAGCUGCGCUCCCCUGCUAGAACCUCCAAACAAGUGUCUGUACCCAUUUUUAAAACCAUAUAGAUGCAUAUUGGAAGGAAAUUUGUGAAGGGUGCUUUAGCAUGUGGAAAACUAACAAAUUGCAUGCCUGCACAUGACAUGGGGUUUAAUA